GAUGAACGCUAGCGGGAGGCCUAACACAUGCAAGCCGAGCGGUAUUGUUUCUUCGGAAAUGAGAGAGCGGCGUACGGGUGCGGAACACGUGUGCAACCUGCCUUUAUCUGGGGGAUAGCCUUUCGAAAGGAAGAUUAAUACUCCAUAACAUAUUGAACGGCAUCGUUUAAUAUUGAAAGCUCCGGUGGAUAGAGAUGGGCACGCGCAAGAUUAGCUAGUUGGUGAGGUAACGGCUCACCAAGGCGAUGAUCUUUAGGGGGCCUGAGAGGGUGAUCCCCCACACUGGUACUGAGACACGGACCAGACUCCUACGGGAGGCAGCAGUGAGGAAUAUUGGUCAAUAGGUGCAAGCCUGAACCAGCUAUCCCGCGUGAAGGACGACUGCCCUAUGGGUUGUAAACUUCUUUUGUAUAGGGAUAAACCUACCCUCGUGAGGGUAGCUGAAGGUACUAUACGAAUAAGCACCGGCUAACUCCGUGCCAGCCGCCGCGGUAAAAC
rnacentral:rRNA from 1 species